UACGUAGGGUGCAAGCGUUGUCCGGAAUUAUUGGGCGUAAAGAGCUCGUAGGCGGUCUGUCACGUCGGAUGUGAAAACUCGGGGCUCAACCCCGAGCCUGCAUACGAUACGGGCAGACUUGAGUGUGGCAGGGGAGUCUGGAAUUCCUGGUGUAGCGGUGAAAUGCGCAGAUAUCAGGAGGAACACCGGUGGCGAAGGCGGGACUCUGGGCCAAUACUGACGCUGAGGAGCGAAAGCGUGGGGAGCAAAC
rnacentral:rRNA from 1 species